rnacentral:rRNA from 1 species
UACGGAGGGUGCAAACGUUGCUCGGAAUUAUUGGGCGUAAAGCGCACGUAGGCGGCCGAAUAAGUCGGGUGUGAAAGCCCUGGGCUCAACCCAGGAAGUGCACUCGAAACUGCUCGGCUUGAAUAUGGAAGAGGGUUGCGGAAUUCCCGGUGUAGAGGUGAAAUUCGUAGAUAUCGGGAGGAACACCAGUGGCGAAGGCGGCAACCUGGGCCAAUAUUGACGCUGAGGUGCGAAAGCGUGGGGAGCAAACAGG